rnacentral:rRNA from 1 species
UACGUAGGGUGCGAGCGUUGUCCGGAAUUAUUGGGCGUAAAGGGCGCGUAGGCGGUCAGCACAAGUCAGUUGUGAAAUCUCCGAGCUUAACUCGGAAAGGUCAACUGAUACUGUGCGACUAGAGUGCGGAAGGGGCAACUGGAAUUCUUGGUGUAGCGGUGAAAUGCGUAGAUAUCAAGAGGAACACCUGCGGCGAAGGCGGGUUGCUGGGCCGACACUGACGCUGAGGCGCGAAAGCUAGGGGAGCGAACGGG